GAAAAUAUUCAUUAUAGUGAAUAUCCCAAAAUUUCAAAUUUAUUAUAGUUAUUAAAAAAUUUACAUGCACACAUACAAGUUGUUACAGUGAUUUUUUUCAUAAUGAUAAACAUAAAAAAGUGAAGUUUUUUGAAUCGCAGAAAGUUACAGUGGCACUAGAGGAGAGAAUGAAUUUUUUGAUGUAUUUAUAAUUGAGGGCAAAAUCAUAUUUUUCACUAGACUUUAAGUACCGUUACAUGCAAAAUUAACAGAAGUGGCACACAGGUAAAAAAACUUCAAAUAAAGGAUAUUUAUAGACUUUUUAAAUUUUUAAUGGUACGUAGAUCAUUUCUAUCUUUUAUAAUGGCACAUAGGUAAAAAGGUCUAAGACUCCACCACUAUGCAUGGCAACGGGGCUAUCCCCGACGGAUUUGGCCAGAACGUUUUGGUCCCCGUUAGUAGGAAAAUCCCCCGCUCCCUGUCCCUGUCCCCGCUCGUGGGGUCCCCGUCCCCGCACGGGUAUCACAGCCCCGAUGGGGUUCCCGUCCCCGAUAAACACAAGGCAUCCAACAUCAAUACAUCAUGAAAAGAAAGAAAAAUUGGACAUAACAACACUGCAGCCGCCCUUGGAUCCCUUUCUUAGAUCCGUCAAUAACUUGAUUUCUGUACUGGCCCGGCGCUCAUGGAGGAACUGAGGAAGAGCCGAAGAGGUGCUUCACGACCUCACGGCCAUCACUCAUGGAGAUCGGAAGUUCCGUAGGCGCCAAGGGUCGCAGCAAUAGUAGAGGAGGCGAGGAGCGCAGGGGUCGCGCAUGGAGAAGGAAGAGGGUUGCGACUGCGAGCGUGGAGCAGAGAGGGAGGAGCGCCGACGGUCACGCCUUGCUCCUUCUGGGUGGAGAGUCGGAGAGGGAGGUCGCGAGGGAGGAGGGGGAGGAGCAGAGAGGGAGCAGAGAGGGAGGAGGGGGAACCAGCGACGGCGGCUGGACUGAAUGGAGAAGUACAUGCUAGGGU
rnacentral:lncRNA from 1 species